UCCCUAGUGGCUCAGUUGGUAAAGAAUCUGCUUGCAAUGCAGGAGACCCAGGUUCGAUCCCUGGAUCAGGAA
rnacentral:tRNA from 1 species